AUUGAACGCUGGCGGCAGGCUUAACACAUGCAAGUCGAGCGGGGUGAUGGUGCUUGCACUAUCACUUAGCGGCGGACGGGUGAGUAAUGCUUAGGAAUCUGCCUAUUAGUGGGGGACAACAUCUCGAAAGGGACGCUAAUACCGCAUACGUCCUACGGGAGAAAGCAGGGGAUCACUUGUGACCUUGCGCUAAUAGAUGAGCCUAAGUCGGAUUAGCUAGUUGGUGGGGUAAAGGCCUACCAAGGCGACGAUCUGUAGCGGGUCUGAGAGGAUGAUCCGCCACACUGGGACCGAGGCACGGCCCAGACUCCUACGGGAGGCAGCAGUGGGGAAUAUUGGGCAAUGGGGGGAACCCUGAUCCAGCCAUGCCGCGUGUGUGAAGAAGGCCUUAUGGUUGUAAAGCACUUUAAGCGAGGAGGAGGCUCUUUUGGUUAAUACCCAAGAUGAGUGGACGUUACUCGCAGAAUAAGCACCGGCUAACUCUGUGCCAGCCGCCGCCGUAA
rnacentral:rRNA from 1 species